AACGAACGCUGGCGGCGCGCCUAAUACAUGCAAGUCGAGCGAGAAGACGUAGCAAUACGUUUGUAAAGCGGCGAACGGGUGAGGAAUACAUGGGUAACCUACCCUCGAGUGGGGAAUAACUAGCCGAAAGGUUAGCUAAUACCGCGUACGCUCCUUGGACUUCGGUUCAGGGAGGAAAGCGAUACCGUGGGUAUCGCGCUCUUGGAUGGGCUCAUGUCCUAUCAGCUUGUUGGNGAGGUAACGGCUCACCAAGGCUUCGACGGGUAGCUGGUCUGAGAGGACGAUCAGCCACACUGGCACUGCGACACGGGCCAGACUCCUACGGGAGGCAGCAGUAAGGAAUAUUGCGCAA
rnacentral:rRNA from 1 species